rnacentral:misc_RNA from 1 species
AAGUCGUAACAAGGUUUCCGUAGGUGAACCUGCGGAAGGAUCAUUAACGAAUCGUGAGGACUUGGCUGUCGCUGGCUCCCCUCUGGGGAGCAUGUGCACGCCCGGUCCAAACCUUUCAACUUUAACCUCCUGUGCACUCUUGUGGAUCGUGGGUCCUGGACAAACUCUUUGUCUCAAAGUAACAUUUGGUCUUGAGGGAUAGGAAUUCUUUUCGGGGGGUUCCUUUCCUCUGCGUCCGCCUGCGGUUCAUGUCUUUAUUACAAACUGUACUUUACAAUCUUAGAAUGGCUUUAACGAGUCGGUUCACUUUUGUGUGAACCUCUCUUAAACUUUUAUACAACUUUCAACAACGGAUCUCUUGGCUCUC